rnacentral:misc_RNA from 1 species
ACACCUCAACUCUCAUGGUUUGCCAUGAUGAGCUUGGACUUUGGGGGUCUUGCUGGCCUACGGUCGGCUCCUCUCAAAUGAAUCAGCUUGCCAGUGUUUGGUGGCAUCACGGGUGUGAUAACUAUCUACGCUUGUGGUUUCCCACCAGGUAACCUUCAGUGAUGGAGGUUCGCUGGGGCUCAUAAACGUCCUUCCACAGCGAGGACAGCUUUUGAAC